GACGAACGCUGGCGGCGUGCUUAACACAUGCAAGUCGAACGAAGAGCGAUGGAAGCUUGCUUCUAUCAAUCUUAGUGGCGAACGGGUGAGUAACGCGUAAUCAACCUGCCCUUCAGAGGGGGACAACAGUUGGAAACGACUGCUAAUACCGCAUACGAUCUAAUCUCAGCAUCGAGGAUAGAUGAAAGGUGGCCUCUACAUGUAAGCUAUCACUGAAGGAGGGGAUUGCGUCUGAUUAGCUAGCUGGAGGGGUAACGGCCCACCAAGGCGAUGAUCAGUAGCCGGUCUGAGAGGAUGAACGGCCACAUUGGGACUGAGACACGGCCCAGACUCCUACGGGAGGCAGCAGUGGAGAAUCUUCCGCAAUGGACGAAAGUCUGACGGAGCAACGCCGCGUGAGUGAUGACGGCCUUCGGGUUGUAAAGCUCUGUUAAUCGGGACGAAAGGCCUUCUUGCGAAUAGUGAGAAGGAUUGACGGUACCGGAAUAGAAAGCCACGGCUAACUACGUG
rnacentral:rRNA from 1 species